CACGAUUUUGUGUCUCCACCUACUCUCCACCAGUCACAGCCCAGUGAGGUACUAGCCUUAGGAACAGUCAGAUGAGGAAUAUCACUUGAAUUCUGAAGA